AUUGAACGCUGGCGGCAGGCCUAACACAUGCAAGUCGAGCGAGAGGCGGGGGGGGGUGUAAUGUAUGGGGGAUGUGCGAUAGAGGGGGAUAACUAUUGGAAACGGUGGCUCAAAUCGCAUACAGUCUGAUUACGCAUAUGGGAUUAGCUAGUGUGUAAGGUAAUGGCUUACCUAGGCGACGAUCCCUAGCUGGUCUGUGAGGAUGAUCAGCCACACUGGGACUGAGACACGGCCCAGACUCCUACGGAGGCAGCAGUGGGGAAUAUUGCACAAUGGGCGCAAGCCUGAUGCAGCCAUGCCGCGUGUAUGAAGAAGGCCUUAGGGUUGUAAAGUACUUUCAGUCGGGAGGCGUUACCGACAGAAGAAGCACCGGCUAACUCCGUGCCAGCAGCCGCGGUAAUAC
rnacentral:rRNA from 1 species